rnacentral:lncRNA from 1 species
AUAGUGUGCUAUUCAUUUGACCCAAAAACCCCCACCAAAUCAUGCAAUUCAAGAGGUUCAAUCUUCAUGUUCACCUGAAGAACACUUGUGAAACCAUCCUGGCCAUUAAGGGUAUGCAUAUCCAGAAAGCUACCAAGUAUCUGAAGGAUGUCACUUUAAAGAAGCAAUGUGUACCAUUUCAUCAUUACAGUGGUGCAGUUGAUAGGUAAGCCAAGGCUAAACUGGUGCUGGAUAAAGGGCUGGUGGCCCAAAGAGUGCUGAAUUUUUACUGCACGUGCUCAAAAAUGCAGACAGUAAUGCUGAAUUUAAGGGCUUAGAUAUCGAUUCUCUGGGCACUGGGCACAUCCUGGUGAACAAAGCUCUCGAGAUGCACCGCAGGACUUACAGAGCUCAUGGUCGGAUCAGUCCCUACAUGAGCUCUCCCUGCCACAUUGAGACUUUCCUUAGUGAAAAAGAACAGAUUGUUCCUAAACCGGAGGAGGUUGAACAGAAGAAAAAGAUACCCCAGAAGAAACUGGAGAAGGAAAAAAUGCCACAAAGAAUA